AUGGAACAGACGAAUGUCAGGUUGCCCCAGCUGGCCAAGAUAGCAGCGCUCCUCCUCCUCUUCCUCCUCGUCCCCAUGGUGCCUCCUUCUCUGAGGGCCCCUUAUCUCUACCUCCUCUUCAACGCCCUCGUCGUCGGCCUUGGUCUCCAGGCCGGCAUCAUCUCGGUCUCAAGCCGGAGCAACUUAACAGCCCAGCCUCCUGCCCCUGCUGCUGCUGUAACUCCCAACCACCAUCACCACCUUGUCACUUCACAGCCGCCGAUCAUGGCGGCCCCCUUGCCAGGACGACUCAGGGAGGUAAAUCUGCUUGCAGAUCGCGGUGCUGUCAACAACGUCGUGGCCGUGGCCAAGAAACUGAAGGAGACGAUCAAGAAAGUCCCGUCCAGGGCGAGCAUCUUCUUCAUCGGGAGCGUGGACCCCCACGACGCCGGCGAGGUCGUGGACGCGACGUCAAAGACGCUCCACGACAAGGAAGGGCGGAAAAGGUGCAAGGUAGACGCCUCCUCCGGGGAUCUCAUGAGCAAGCAGGAACUUUACGCCAAGGCCGACGCCUUCAUCGGCAACUUCUACAAGCAGCUCAAGAUGCAGAGGGAGGAGUCCUGGAACAAGCUGCAGGACCUGUGCAGCUACCACCACCACCACAACUACAAGGCCAAGGCCUUCUAG
rnacentral:rRNA from 1 species